rnacentral:rRNA from 1 species
UACGUAGGCAGCGAGCGUUGUUCGGAGUUACUGGGCGUAAAGGGUGCGUAGGCGGUUUUCUAAGUUUGGUGUGAAAUCUCCCGGCUCAACUGGGAGGGUGCGCCGAAGACUGGAAGGCUUGAGUAUGGGAGAGGUAAGCGGAAUUCCUGGUGUAGCGGUGAAAUGCGUAGAUAUCAGGAGGAACACCUGCGGUGUAGACGGCUUACUGGACCAUAACUGACGCUGAGGCACGAAAGCGUGGGUAGCAAACAGG